GAGAAUUAGAAUAGUACUUGUCACGGCUUCAUCCCAAGCUACCUGGAAAUUCAUUUUGUUUCAUUACGAUAAACAAGAUACACUUGAAGCCAGCUCUCCUGACCCCUAAGUUAGAAGAGCUAAGAGAAGCUCCAAGAAACUCAGUGAAUGUAUGACUGGAUGGCCACCCAAACAAAUGAUCUUUCCAGAAGUGUUAAUGCUGGACUGACUUGUCCUGUGCUUUUCACACUCUUAAAAAAAUCAAUAUAACCCUUUCUUCAAACAAAAGCUUAACUAAAAUCCCUGGAUACAGGAAGGAAUAAAAGCCGAGCUGCUCUCAUUCUUUAGAAAAGAAAUGCCUAUAGCCUUGCCCAGAACUCUUUCUCCCUCGAUGUGGCUCCAAAGGUGCCACAGUGGAACCCAGCAGAGCACCAGUGACCUUGUCAGAAGAGACAUCACAUCUAGGAAGCGAUGGGGAAGAGAAGACCAAACCACCAGCACCGUGUGUUUCCAAGGGUGGUAAGCGCACUGUGGAGAAAUGCAACACACCGCAUGCGGUAUACAGAUAAACAGACCAGCAUUUGCUCUUUGCAGCCAUCACAACACGCUCGUGUUGGGCCUGGAGUCAGGCGAGACCACUGACCGCCAGCACUGGGUCCUGCACGUGGCUGAGAAGCAGCGCUCUAGCCAAGCUGCAGACAGCAGCAUGGAUUGGAGAAUGCAGACAGCAGCAUGGAUUGGAGAAGGCAAAAUCAGGGCUGGCAUACCGAGAUUCCCCUCAGGCCCACCUCCACCCUCCUGAUAAGGACUAAAACAGUUUUGUAGAAAUCCCGUCAAGGAGUAUGAAGAAAAACAGAGAAAGAUUCUGCAACAGAGAGAGGGAAUUUGUGUAUAAAUUCAAAGUAGGAAGUCAGUGUUUAGAACUGAGGAUGCCACUCCAAUUUCCUGUUCAAGAGAAUGCCAGUCAUUUGCAUGGACGCCUGAUGCUGCUGCACAGUUUACCGUGCUUUAUAGAAAAUGAUUUAAAAGAAGCUCUGAGCCAGUUUAUAGAAGAAGAAUCCCUCCAAGAUUAUGAUAGAGAUGCUGAGGCAUCCCUGGAAGCUGUGAAAUCAGGUGAAGUAGAUCUACAUCAAUUAGCAAGUACAUGGGCCAAAGCUUAUGCUGAGACCACAUUAGAGCAUGCAAGGCCUGAAGAACCCAGCUGGGAUGAAGAUUUUGCAGAUGUGUACCAUGACCUAAUCCAUUCCCCUGCCUCUGAAACGCUCCUUAAUUUAGAACAUAAUUACUUUGUUAGCAUCUCAGAACUGAUCGGUGAAAGAGAUGUGGAACUGAAAAAAUUACGAGAGAGACAAGGUGUUGAAAUGGAUAAAGUGAUGCAAGAAUUGGGAAAAUCACUGACAGAUCAAGAUGUAAAUUCACUGGCUGCUCAGCAUUUUGAAUCCCAGCAAGACUUGGAGAAUAAAUGGUCGAAUGAAUUAAAACAAUCCACUGCCAUCCAAAAGCAAGAGUAUCAGGAAUGGGUGAUCAAACUUCAUCAAGACCUAAAAAACCCCAACAACAGUUCCCUCAGUGAAGAAAUUAAAGUUCAGCCAAGUCAGUUCAGAGAAUCUGUAGAAGCAAUUGGAAGGAUAUAUGAGGAACAGAGAAAGUUAGAAGAAAGUUUUACCAUUCACUUAGGAGCCCAAUUGAAGACCAUGCAUAAUUUGAGGUUGCUGAGAGCAGAUAUGCUAGACUUCUGUAAACAUAAAAGAAAUCAUAGAAGUGGUGUGAAACUCCAUCGGCUCCAAACAGCACUAUCACUUUAUUCUACGUCUCUCUGUGGCCUGGUGUUACUAGUAGACAAUCGAAUAAAUUCAUAUAGUGGUAUUAAAAGAGAUUUUGCCACAGUUUGCCAAGAAUGUACUGACUUCCACUUUCCCCGAAUUGAAGAGCAACUAGAAGUGGUCCAACAGGUGGUACUUUAUGCUAGGACCCAGCGCAGGAGUAAGUUGAAAGAAUCACAUGAUUCUGGAAACCAAAAUGGAGGAAGUGAUGAUAAAACUAAGACUGCUGAGAGAAACUAUUUAAACAUAUUACCAGGAGAAUUUUACAUUACACGGCAUUCUAAUCUCUCAGAAAUCCAUGUUGCUUUCCAUCUCUGUGUGGACGACAAUGUGAAGUCAGGAAACAUCACUGCUCGUGAUCCUGCAAUUAUGGGACUCCGAAAUAUACUCAAAGUUUGCUGUACCCAUGACAUCACUACAAUAAGCAUUCCUCUCUUGCUGGUGCAUGAUAUGUCAGAAGAAAUGACUAUACCGUGGUGCUUAAGGAGAGCAGAACUUGUGUUUAAGUGUGUCAAAGGUUUCAUGAUGGAAAUGGCCUCGUGGGAUGGAGGAAUUUCUAGGACAGUGCAAUUUCUGGUACCUCAGAGUAUUUCUGAAGAAAUGUUUUAUCAACUUAGUAACAUGCUCCCCCAGAUCUUCCGAGUAUCAUCCACACUCACUCUGACAUCCAAGCACUAAAGUGUUAUAGAUUGACAUGCUGGCAGAAGAGGAUUGUUAAACUCUCCAGGAACUUGAGCUAUGCUGGGAUUCUGUCAAGCAGAAGAUGCCCAGAAAGAGAACAUACAACUGAAGCUACAAAUCAAAUCGUGAUAUGUCUGUUAAACAUUCCAGAAAUUUAUAUAGUGCACAGACUAACGAACGUUACUCAAGGAAAAACUGUGUUUUAGUAACAACACUAAGAAGAACGCCCACUCCAGCAGAAUGUCCAUGAGGCUCUAAAACUUUCCACAUUCCUCAUCAGCGAGCCUCAUGAUCCCUAAGAAGGCAAGAGAGCGUAGCAGCUAUCUGUGGAUAUCUAUGGAGAAUGAAACCUGGAACACAUUACCAAAGAAGCAAACAGAUCUUUCAUGAAGACGUUUAGGAAUUAAGCAGACACUGUGCUGUCUGUCAAAGGUGAAAUAAAUGAGGCUCAGAGAAGUCCAAAACAUUCCCAGAUCGCACAGCGAAUAUGUGGUGGAGUUGGGAUUCAAAUCCAGGCAUCCUCUUUCCAAAGUCAUUGCUUUAUAAGACAUCAACUACAACCUCUCCGUAGACAGGAACCUGGGGUGAGGCCUGCUGGAGAUUUCCACAGUGGAGAGAGGUGUGGUGAGUCUCUUUGGGGUGCGAAGUGCCCUCUUUGUUGCCAUGAACAGUAAAGGAAGAUUGUAUACAACG